UUUAUCGGAGAGUUUGAUCCUGGCUCAGGACGAACGCUGGCGGCGUGCCUAAUACAUGCAAGUCGAGCGGACAGAUGGGAGCUUGCUCCCUGAUGUUAGCGGCGGACGGGUGAGUAACACGUGGGUAACCUGCCUGUAAGACUGGGAUAACUCCGGGAAACCGGGGCUAAUACCGGAUGGUUGUUUGAACCGCAUGGUUCAGACAUAAAAGGUGGCUUCGGCUACCACUUACAGAUGGACCCGCG
rnacentral:rRNA from 1 species